rnacentral:rRNA from 1 species
AGUGGCGCACGGGUGAGUAACGCGUGGAUAAUCUACCCAAAGGUCUGGAAUAACAGUUGGAAACGACUGAUAAUACCGGAUGUACUGGCAACGGGAAAGGUGGCCUCUGCUUGCAAGCUACUGCCUUUGGAUGAGUCCGCGUCUCAUUAGCUAGACGGUAGGGUAACGGCCUACCGUGGCAACGAUGAGUAGCAGGCCUGAGAGGGUGGCCUGCCACACUGGGACUGGAACACGGCCCAGACUCCUACGGGAGGCAGCAGUGGGGAAUAUUGCGCAAUGGGGGAAACCCUGACGCAGCGACGCCGCGUGGAGGAUGAAGGCUUUCGGGUCGUAAACUCCUGUCAAGAGGGAAGAAACCUGUGAAGAGUAAUAUGCUUCGCAAUUGACGGUACCUCUAGAGGAAGCACCGGCUAAUUCCGUGCCAGCAGCCGCGGUAAUACGGAAGGUGCAAGCGUUAAUCGGAAUCACUGGGCGUAAAGCGCUCGUAGGUUGCUUUGUAAGUCAGGUGUGAAAUCCCACGGCUCAACCGUGGAAUUGCACUUGAUACUGCAUUGCUUGAGUUCGGGAGAGGGUAGUGGAAUUCCAGGUGUAGGAGUGAAAUCCGUAGAGAUCUGGAGGAACACCGGUGGCGAAGGCGACUACCUGGACCGAUACUGACACUGAGGAGCGAAAGCGUGGGGAGCAAACAGGAUUAGAUACCCUGGUAGUCCACGCUGUAAACGAUGGAUACUAGGUGUCGGGGGCUUGACCUUCGGUGCCGUAGCUAACGCGUUAA